rnacentral:rRNA from 1 species
CCUACGGGAGGCAGCAGUGAGGAAUAUUGGUCAAUGGACGAGAGUCUGAACCAGCCAAGUAGCGUGAAGGAUGACUGCCCUAUGGGUUGUAAACUUCUUUUAUAUGGGAAUAACAUGUUCCACGUGUGGGAUUUUGUAUGUACCAUAUGAAUAAGGAUCGGCUAACUCCGUGCCAGCAGCCGCGGUAAUACGGAGGAUCCGAGCGUUAUCCGGAUUUAUUGGGUUUAAAGGGAGCGUAGGUGGAUUGUUAAGUCAGUUGUGAAAGUUUGCGGCUAAACCGUAAAAUUGCAGUUGAAACUGGCAGUCUUGAGUACAGUAGAGGUGGGCGGAAUUCGUGGUGUAGCGGUGAAAUGCUUAGAUAUCACGAAGAACUCCGAUUGCGAAGGCAGUUCACUGGACUGCAACUGACACUGAGGCUCGAAAGUGUGGGUAUCAAACAGGAUUAGAUACCCCAGUAGUC